ACGGAAGGCAGCAGUAGGGAAUAUUGGGCAAUGGGCGAAAGCCUGACCCAGCAACACCGCGUGAAUGAUGAAGGUCUUCGGAUUGUAAAGUUCUGUGAUGGGGGACGAAAAAACUGACGGUACCCCAAGAGCAAGCCACGGCUAACUACGUGCCAGCAGCCGCGGUAAUACGUAGGUGGCAAGCGUUGUCCGGAAUGACUGGGCGUAAAGGGUACGUAGGUGGCUGUUCAAGUUAGUGGUGAAAUUCCGGGGCUUAACUCCGGCACUACCACUAAGACUGUACAGCUUGAGUGCAGGAGGGGUAAGUGGAAUUCCUAGUGUAGCGGUGGAAUGCGUAGAUAUUAGGAAGAACACCAGUGGCGAAGGCGACUUACUGGACUGUAACUGACACUGAAGUACGAAAGCGUGGGGAGCAAACAGGAUUAGAUACCCUGGUA
rnacentral:rRNA from 1 species